rnacentral:rRNA from 1 species
AUACGGAGGAUCCAAGCGUUAUCCGGAUUUAUUGGGUUUAAAGGGUGCGCAGGCGGCCUUAUAAGUCAGUGGUGAAAUCUCCCGGCUCAACCGGGAAACUGCCAUUGAUACUGUAAGGCUAGAAUACAGACGAGGUAGGCGGAAUGUAGCAUGUAGCGGUGAAAUGCUUAGAUAUGCUACAGAACACCGAUCGCGAAGGCAGCUUACCAGACUGUAAUUGACGCUAAGGCACGAAAGCGUGGGGAGCGAACAGGAUUAGAAACCCUUGUAGUCC